UUGAAAUUUCAACAUGGAUCAACAAGCAUUAUGCAGUAUUUGUGACACAGUUUUGAUCAAUGACACCGACACUGUUGUUUCAGUGAAAGAGAGAGGAUUAAAAAAGUUGAUUGAGAAAAGCAUUGAGAAGGAAGACAGAAAAAGCGAGUUAUGGCUCGGAAAGAUUGAAGUAAGUUUUCAUGAAAAAUGUAGGAAGUCGUAUCCUAUGUCUACCUCUUCAAUUAAGAGAAAAUCAAAAUUAUCUACUGAUCCAUCUUCAUCACAUUUUACAUCAUCUGUAGUUGGACCAAGUAUACUACCAGCGUCAACUUCAACAAAUUUGAAUUUUGAUUUUGUAAAUCUAUGUUUUUUUUGUAAAAUGUCAUUGGAUCGCAAACAUAAACGGGUCCAUUUGAUAGCUAAUAAGUACACACAAGACCAGAUACUGGAUAUUGCCAGGAGGCAAAAUGAUGAGUUUAGUACUGAAUUGAUUAAACGCAUUAAAGACAUCAACCUAGUUGACUGUAAAGCUAGUUAUCAUCAUAAAUGCUACGUGAAUUUUAAUAAGCUCGUGAAGGAACCAAAAAUCUCUACCCUUAAAGAACAAACAGCUAGGAUUUUUAAUCAAAUUUGCAAACACAUUGAAGAAAGCUGUCAGUAUACAUUUAGUUUGCGGGAACUAAAAGAUAUCAUGGGAGAUGAUCCCUUGAGUAACUUUGUUUUAUUUCGAAUGUUGAAAGAAAAAUAUAAAGAUGAUAUCUUCAUAUCUCAUCAUCGAGGUAAGGAACCAAUGAUCUAUUAUAAAACAUUCGAUAUUUCUAAUGUGAUGAUACCUAUCAUGUCAAACGCGGAACCAGCACCAAAGGAGUUAAUAGAUAAAGUAAGUUACAAUUCACACCAACUUAUCUUAUUUUAGUGUUAUCCAAUAGUAAUAAUAAAUUAUUCAUUUUGCAUUUUAUUUUAACAGGUUUCUUGUAGCUGUAAAACGAAUUGUUUAUCAGCUCGAUGUGGUUGCAAAAAAAGUGGUUUAAAAUGCAAUAAAUUUUGUAAAAGUUGCCAAGGCCAAAGCUGUGAUAACGCUUCUGCAAGAUCGUUUAAUCUUGAGGAUGAUGAAAAUGAAGAUAAAGAAGAUGAAGAAAGAGAUGAUAGUGAUGAUGAAAAUGAUGAUGAUGGAAAUGUUUAUGAGGAUGAAAAUGAUGGUGAAGAAGAAACUACUGUCAAAGACGGAGAACAAGAAAAUGAAGCUAUAUGUACAGGACGUAAAACUGUUAAAAACACUCGUUCAAAAGUAUCCACACAAAAGAUUUUUUGUGGUUGUAGAACCAAUUGUGCAUCAGCAAGAUGUAGUUGUAGAAAAAGUUCUCUCAAAUGUAAUGAAUUAUGCAAGUUUUGUCAUGGUGAUACAUGCAAUAACAGUAUAAAUGCAGGCGUUGAUACCAAUGAAGAUAGUGAAUAUGAGACACAUACAAAAGCUAACGAUAAAGACGAAGAAACACCUACUGAAGAAGAAAACGAAGGAAGCUCAACUGUUAGAG